rnacentral:tRNA from 1 species
AAACUGGUGGCAUAAAUUCUUAAGCACUCAGCUGCUAACAGAAAGAUUGGUGGUUCAAAUCCACCCCGCUUCU